rnacentral:tRNA from 1 species
GAUUAAUGUGGCCGAAUUAGGUGAUAGAUUGUAAAUCUUUUUAUGGAAAUAAUACCCUUAAUCA